rnacentral:rRNA from 1 species
AUACGGAGGAUGCGAGCGUUAUCCGGAUUUAUUGGGUUUAAAGGGUGCGUAGGCUGUGCGUUAAGUCAGGGGUGAAAUGCCGUCGCUCAACGACGGAGCUGCCCUUGAUACUGGCGUGCUGGAGUACGGAUGCCGUUGGAGGAAUGAGUGGUGUAGCGGUGAAAUGCUUAGAUAUCACUCAGAACACCGAUUGCGAAGGCAUCUGACGAAUCCGUCACUGACGCUGAGGCACGAAAGCGUGGGGAUAGAACAGGAUUAGAUACCCUGGUAUUCCACGCCGUAAACGAUGAUGACUAACCGUCGGCGAUAGACAGCCGGUGGCCAAGCGAAAGCGAUAAGUCAUCCACCUGGGGAGUACGUCGGCAACGAUGAAACUCAAAGGAAUUGACGGGG